rnacentral:lncRNA from 1 species
UUGAUACAUCAUCAUCAUCAUGGUUUGUCAUCAUCAAGUGUUGGAUCAUAUACCUUGAGAUUAGGGUUUUGACCACUGGUCAACCCUAAUCAGUUGCAUUGGGCCAAUCUGGGCAUAGCGAGGAGAUGGGGUCUAUGAUGGAUAUGAGGGUCAUUUCAUGAUUAUAUGGAGUUUAUUGAGGCUAGGGUUUCAUCCUUGAGCCAUUUCAUCAGAAGAUUGGGGCUCAGAUUGAUCAGUGCAUUGCCAAAUUCAUCUAUCAGUUGAAAAGUCAACUGUGCUUGAUUUUAUGGAUUUGGAGGUGGGAGAGAGUUGGAUACACUUCAUUCAUGUUGGAACAAGUGUUAUUUGACAUGUCAAAGCUCAAGAAUGGAG